rnacentral:rRNA from 1 species
AUUGAACGCUGGCGGCAUGCUUUACACAUGCAAGUCGAACGGUAACAGGUCUUCGGAUGCUGACGAGUGGCGAACGGGUGAGUAAUGCAUCGGAACGUGCCCAGUCGUGGGGGAUAACGCAGCGAAAGCUGCGCUAAUACCGCAUACGAUCUAUGGAUGAAAGCGGGGGACCGUAAGGCCUCGCGCGAUUGGAGCGGCCGAGGUCAGCUUAGGUAGUUGGUGGGGUAAAGGACCACCAAGACAACGAUCUGGAGCUGGGCUGAGAGGACGACCAGCCACACUGGGACUGAGACACGGACCAGGCUCCUACGGGAGGCAGCAGUGGGUAAUUUUGGACAAUGGGCGCAAGCCUGUUCCAGCAAUGCCGCGUGCAGGAAGAAGGCCUUCGGGUUGUAAACUGCUUUUGUACGGAACGAAACGGCUCUCUCUAAUACAGAGGGCUAAUGACGGUACCGUAAGAAUAAGCACCGGCUAACUACGUGCCAGCCGCCGCCGUAAGAC